rnacentral:rRNA from 1 species
UACGUAGGGUGCGAGCGUUGUCCGGAAUUACUGGGCGUAAAGAGCUCGUAGGUGGUUUGUCGCGUCGUCUGUGAAAUUCCGGGGCUUAACUCCGGGCGUGCAGGCGAUACGGGCAAUACUUGAGUGCUGUAGGGGAGACUGGAAUUCCUGGUGUAGCGGUGAAAUGCGCAGAUAUCAGGAGGAACACCGAUGGCGAAGGCAGGUCUCUGGGCAGUAACUGACGCUGAGGAACGAAAGCAUGGGUAGCGAACAGGAUUAGAUA